CUCCGAAAGGGUAUCGGAGGCGCUCAAAGGUUCCCUCAGAAUGGUUGGAAACCAUUCGAAGAGUGCAAAGGCAGAAGGGAGCUUGACUGCGACACCGACGGGUGGAGCAGGUACGAAAGUAGGACUUAGUGAUCCGGUGGUAUAAAGUGGGAUUGCCAUCGCUCAACGGAUAAAAGCUACCCUGGGGAUAACAGGCUUAUCACUCCCAAGAGUUCACAUCGACGGAGUGGUUUGGCACCUCGAUGUCGGCUCAUCGCAUCCUGGGGCUGAAGUAGGUCCCAAGGGUUGGGCUGUUCGCCCAUUAAAGCGGUACGCGAGCUGGGUUCAGAACGUCGUGAGACAGUUCGGUCCCUAUCCGGCGUGGGCGUAAGAUAUUUGAGAGGAGCUGUCCUUAGUACGAGAGGACCGGGAUGGACUGGCCGCUGGUGUAUCUGUUGUCUUACCAAAGGCAUAGCAGAGUAGCCAAGCCGGGAAGGGAUAAACGCUGAAGGCAUCUAAGCGUGAAGCCCCCCUCAAGAUGAGAUAUCUCAUAACGUCAAGUUAGUAAGACCCCUUGAAGACGACGAGGUAGAUAGGGCAGAGGUGGAAGUGUGGUAACACAUGGAGCUGACUGUUACUAAUAGGUCGAGGGCAUAACCAAA
rnacentral:rRNA from 3 species